CCUACGGGAGGCAGCAGUGAGGAAUAUUGGUCAAUGGACGAGAGUCUGAACCAGCCAAGUAGCGUGAAGGAUGACUGCCCUAUGGGUUGUAAACUUCUUUUAUAUGGGAAUAAAAUGUUCCACGUGUGGGAUUUUGUAGGUACCAUAUGAAUAAGGAUCGGCUAACUCCGUGCCAGCAGCCGCGGUAAUACGGAGGAUCCGAGCGUUAUCCGGAUUUAUUGGGUUUAAAGGGAGCGUAGGUGGAUUGUUAAGUCAGUUGUCAAAGUUUGCGGCUCAACCGUAAAAUUGCAGUUGAAACUGGCAGUCUUGAGUACAGUAGAGGUAGGCGGAAUGCGUAGUGUAGCGGUGAAAUGCUUAGAUAUCGCGAAGAACUCCGAUUGCGAAGGCAGUUCACUGGACUGCAACUGACACUGAGGCACGAAAGUGUGGGUAUCAAACAGGAUUAGAGACCCGAGUAGUC
rnacentral:rRNA from 1 species